rnacentral:rRNA from 1 species
UACAGAGGUCUCAAGCGUUGUUCGGAAUUACUGGGCGUAAAGGGCUCGUAGGCGGCCAACUAAGUCGGACGUGAAAUCCCUCAGCUUAACUGGGGAACUGCGUCCGAUACUGGAUGGCUUGGAUUUGGGAGAGGGAUGCGGAAUUCCAGGUGUAGCGGUGAAAUGCGUAGAUAUCUGGAGGAACACCGGUGGCGAAGGCGGCAUCCUGGACCGGCAUUGACGCUGAGGCGCGAAAGCCAGGGGAGCAAACGGG